rnacentral:rRNA from 1 species
GACGAACGCUGGCGGCGUGGAUUAGGCAUGCAAGUCGGACGGUAGGGCUUUAUCGUAAGAUAGAGUUUGAGAGUGGCGAACGGGUGAGUAACACGUAGGAAUCUACCCUUAAGACGGGGACAACCCAGGGAAACUUGGGCUAAUACCGGAUGAGAGUGCGAGAGAUUGCAUUUAAAAAGGAUGGCGAAAGUUAUCGCUUAGGGAUGAGCCUGCGGUCUAUUAGUUAGUUGGUGGGGUAAGAGCUCACCAAGGCGAUGAUAGAUAGGCGGCCUUAACGGGUGGUCGCCCACACUGGGAUUGAGAUACGGCCCAGACUCCUACGGGAGGCAGCAGUCGAGAAUAGUCUACAAUGGCCGGAAGGCUGAUAGUGCGACGCCGCGUGAACGAGGGAGCCCUUCGGGGUGUAAACUGCUGUCGUGUAGGGAGAAGGGUACUAAGGUGAACAAUCUUAGUACUUGACGGUACUACAGGAGGAAGCCCAGGCUAACCUCGUGCCAGCAGCCGCGGUAAGAU